UACGUAGGGUGCAAGCGUUGUCCGGAAUUACUGGGCGUAAAGAGUUCGUAGGCGGUUUGUCGCGUCGUUUGUGAAAACCAGCAGCUCAACUGCUGGCUUGCAGGCGAUACGGGCAGACUUGAGUACUGCAGGGGAGACUGGAAUUCCUGGUGUAGCGGUGAAAUGCGCAGAUAUCAGGAGGAACACCGGUGGCGAAGGCGGGUCUCUGGGCAGUAACUGACGCUGAGGAACGAAAGCGUGGGUAGCGAACAGGAUUAGAUACCCUGGUAGUCCACGCCGUAAACGGUGGGCGCUAGGUGUGGGUUCCUUCCACGGAAUCCGUGCCGUAGCUAACGCAUUAAGCGCCCCGCCUGGGGAGUACGGCCGCAAGGCUAAAACUCAAAGGAAUUGACGGGGGCCCGCACAAGCGGCGGAGCAUGUGGAUUAAUUCGAUGCAACGCGAAGAACCUUACCUGGGUUUGACAUAUACCGGAAAGCUGCAGAGAUGUGGCCCCCCUUGUGGUCGGUAUACAGGUGGUGCAUAGCUGUCGUCAGCUCGUGUCGUGAGAUGUUGGGUUAAGUCCCGCAACGAGCGCAACCCCUAUCUUAUGUUGCCAGCACGUUAUGGUGGGGACUCGUAAGAGACUGCCGGGGUCAACUCGGAGGAAGGUGGGGACGACGUCAAGUCAUCAUGCCCCUUAUGUCCAGGGCUUCACACAUGCUACAAUGGCCAGUACAGAGGGCUGCGAGACCGUGAGGUGGAGCGAAUCCCUUAAAGCUGGUCUCAGUUCGGAUCGGGGUCUGCAACUCGACCUCGUGAAGUCGGAGUCGCUAGUAAUCGCAGAUCAGCAACGCUGCGGUGAAUACGUUCCCAGGCCU
rnacentral:rRNA from 1 species